GCCCGGGUAGCUCAGUUGGCUAGAGCGUGGGACUUUUACGAGACUCUGAGAGUCUCCGAGACAUCCCAAUGUCGAGGGUUCGAGCCCCUCUUCGGGCG